rnacentral:rRNA from 1 species
AUGGCGCCGCUCCCGGAGACCACGGCACAGGCCGCAGCGGAGGACGGCGGCGGCGACACCAGCAAGGCCCUGGGCGACGCGUGGGACUACCGCGGCCGGCCGGCCGUGCGCGCCAGCUCCGGGGGCUGGUCCAGCGCGGCCAUGAUCCUGGGCGUGGAGCUCAACGAGCGGCUCACCACGCUGGGCAUCGCCGUGAACCUCGUCACCUACCUCACGGCCGCCAUGCACCUGGGCAACGCCGCCUCCGCCAACGCCGUCACCAACUUCCUCGGCACCUCCUUCCUGCUCUGCCUCCUGGGCGGCUUCGUCGCCGACACCUACCUCGGCCGCUACCUCACCAUCGCCAUCUCCACGGCCGUGCAGGUCGCCGGCAUGGCCGUGCUCACCGUCUCCACGGCGGCGCCGGGGCUGCGCCCGGCGCCCUGCGAGGACCCGACGGGCGACGGCAGCGCCCCCGGCUGCGCGCCGCCUACCGGCGCGCAGCUCGGCGUGCUCUACCUGGGCCUCUACCUGACGGCGCUGGGGACCGGCGGGCUCAAGUCGAGCGUGUCGGGGUUCGGGUCGGACCAGUUCGACGAGUCCCAUGCCGGGGAGCGGCGCCGCAUGGCGCGCUUCUUCGGCUGGUUCUUCUUCUUCAUCAGCCUGGGGUCGCUCCUCGCCGUCACGGUGCUGGUGUACGUGCAGGACAACGUGGGCCGGCGGUGGGGCUACGGCGCCUGCGUGGUGGCCAUCCUCGCCGGCCUCGGCGUCUUCCUCGCCGGCACCCCCAGGUACCGGUUCAAGAAGCUGGCGGGGAGCCCGCUGACGCAGAUCGCGGCCGUGACCGCCGCCGCCUGGAGGAAGCGCGCGCUGCCGCUGCCGUCCGACCCGGCGAUGCUCUACGACCUGGACGACGCGGCCGCCGCCGGCGAGGACGUGAAGGGCAAGCGGAAGCUGCCCCAUUCCAAGCAGUGCAGGUUCCUCGAUCAGGCGGCAAUCGUAGAGGUGGAGCUGGAGCCGUCGUCGGGGAAGAAGAAGAAGUGGGCGGUGUGCACGGUGACGGAGGUGGAGGAGGUGAAGCAGGUGGUGCGAAUGCUGCCCACCUGGGCCACCACCAUCAUCUUCUGGACCGUCUACGCACAGAUGACCACCUUCUCCGUCUCCCAGGCCCAAUCUUUGGACCGCCGCCUCGGCCCCUCCUUUGUCAUCCCUGCCGGCUCCCUCACUGUCUUCUUUGUUGGCUCCAUCCUCCUCACCGUCCCUAUCUACGACCGCCUCAUCGCGCCGCUCGCUCGCCGCCUCACCGGCAACCCUCAAGGCCUCUCCCCGCUCCAGCGCAUCUUCGUCGGCCUCUUCCUCUCCAUCCUCGCCAUGGUUGUUGCCGGGCUAACCGAACGCCACCGCCUCUCCGCCUCUACCGCGGGCGUCCAGCUCUCCGUCUUCCUCAUCGUGCCACAGUUCCUCCUCGUCGGCGCCGGCGAGGCGUUCACAUACAUCGGCCAGCUCGACUUCUUCCUGUGUGAGUGCCCCAGGGACAUGAAGACCAUGAGCACCGGCCUCUUCCUCACCACGCUCUCGCUCGGCUUCUUCCUCAGCUCCGGUCUCGUCUCCAUUGUCCACGCAGUGACCACCUCCGAUGGACGGAGACCAUGGCUUGCCAACGACAUCGACAAGGGGAGGCUCGACUACUUCUACUGGCUGCUCGGCGCCAUCAGCACUGCCAACCUUGGGAUCUUCAUCGCCGCCGCCAAGGGGUACGUGUACAAGGAGAAGCGCCUGGCAGACGCCGGCUUCAUCGAACUCCACGUCGAAGAAGUGAUCGUCCAUGCUUGA